rnacentral:rRNA from 1 species
GACAGAGGUGCCGAGCGUUAGGCGGAAUCACUGGGCUUAAAGCGUGUGUAGGCGGACCGUUAAGUACCUUGUGAAAUCCCCCGGCUCAACCGGGGAACGGCUGGGUAUACUGGCGGUCUUGAGCCAUCCAGGGCAGUCGGAACAGACGGUGGAGCGGUGAAAUGCGUAGAUAUCGUCUGGAACGCCGAAGGUGAAAACAGACUGCUGGGGAUGAGCUGACGCUGAGACACGAAAGCCAGGGGAGCGAACGGGGAUUAAGAAACCCCAGUAACGUCCGAGAACCAACGAUCUCCUUGCUAACCCGUA